UGAUGAAUAAAUCUCUACAUUGGUUACUUGAUGAAUGUACCUUAAUCUUAACUCAUAUAAAUUGAUCCUUCUUCAAUCCACUAGGGUUACUAUAUAUUCUACAUUGAUUCCAUCAGUUGUAUUAACAAGGCUAGGGCAAGGAGGUAGAAGUCAAAUUACGACUAACGCUUUCGUUUUUCUCUAUGAUGAUGUCUUCCGCAUCAGGUAUGCUUUCCUUUUUCUCUAUGAAGACGUCUUCCGCAUCAGGUAUGUGCUUUAACAAUAUAAUAUCUACGUAAAAUUAUCUAGUUCAAGAUCCUGAUAUGUAUUAAAGUAUUUAAUCUUAUAUCAAGUCUAAAGUUUUGUUCAAUCAUCGAAACUUUAAAUAUGGAUUAAAAUAACAAAGCCCACACUCAUCGAAAAACAAAAUUACAUCAAACUAAAAGUCCUGUGUGUUUUCCCUUUGAGAAAAAGAGAGAUUGAAUUUCUUUUUUGUUAUGUGAAAAAACUUUUUCAUAGAAGUCGUUCUGCUCUUUUAAUAGAAUACAGGAUAUUUAGGGAUUUUUUAUUUUAUUUUCCUUGGAUAGAUUAUCUAUCCACGUAUAAAUAUCUCUCAUUUUUUUAUUAAUAGAACAUUAAAGAUUGCUCCAUUCUCUCUGUAUUUUACAUGGCAUCAGAGUAUUUCUUUUUGUUUUAUUUUUCUUUUUGAAUCAUUGGUGCCGGAUUGCUCAGGAAAUUAUUCGUAAGUUGGUCAUGUCUGCUAGUGAGGGGUACUUGAAACUUGAUUUUCCAAUUUCAUAGCCAACCUAAGGAGGACCACCUCACCCGAUCCAUAAAAAUCAGGAUUCGGUGACCGGGAGGAAAGAGUGUGAGGCUCGAGCUUCGGCGAACUAUUUCAGAAAGCUUCUGCAUACGAGGCACGUGGGCGAGUGUAAAAUCUGAAUUAGAUCAGAUUUUUAUUUCUAGUAUCAUCUCAAUAUUUUCGGUCAGAUUUUGCGGUCUUUUAUUGAACAGACCUCAGUUAGGUUGAUUUCCAAGCAUUCCAAGUUCCCCAAACUUUGUUUUCCUUGGGUAAAAUCAGUUGACAUGUAUUUGCUAAUUCUGGUGUUAGAUUACUGCUAAAAUUUUGAUCAAAUUCUUCUCUCUUUGGCUUGGUUGACCGUUCACUCUUAGUGAAAAAUUAGUUUGAUUGGAUCAACCAAGCUCUAUUAACUCUUGAACAUCUAAAAAUUUGUUGGCAUAAAUCUACUCCGUGAAAGUUUGUUGGUUUAACUUCUUAAUUUAUUUUUGUUAUAUUGAGUAUUUAAUUAGGACAGUGACCGAUCAUAAUCGAGUAACUCAAAGUUCUGAAGUUCUUGGUGUUUCUAGUCUAUCAUCUGCUAAAAUGAAUUUGGUUUCAGUCGAGGAGUUCGCUAAUUUCUCUCGAUAUCAAAAAUCCACUACAGUUACUGCUUUUACUAUGUCCGAUAAAAUAUGUCUUGUUAUCGCUUCAAAUAAAUGGGCCAUCGAUUCAGGUGCUAUAAAUCACUUGACAAGUAAUCCUAUAUAUUUUCAAGCUUUCAACCACCAAAAGCACCAUCUCCCAUUAUUGUAGUUGACGGAUCAACUCGUAAUAGUGGUUGAUCUGGGACUAUUAAGACAACCUCCUUAUUACCUUGUCAUCUGUGUUAAUUCUAACAAAAUUGGAUUUCAAUUUGAUAUAUGUCAACAAACUUAUCAAAGACCUUAAUUGUUAUAUCUCGUUCGUUUUCGAUCAUUGUUUGUUUUGUGAUCUUAUAACGAAUCAGAUAACUGAAAAAAUGACAUUUAUAUGAUGAUCUCUACAUCAUCGAUGAAUGAGAGUCUCGAUCUAUUGCCUGCUCCAGUGUCAUAUCUCUAUUUGAAGCACAUUGUCGAUUGUGACAUCCUUCUUUACCUUUGUUGAAGAAGCCUUGUCCACAAUUUCUGAAUAUUUCUUCCUUAGACCGUGAGUCAUGUCGAUUUGCAAAACACAAUCGUAUUUUGUUAGGUCCAAGGAUUAAUAAUCAAGUUGCGUUAACUUUUGAGUUAGUUCAUUCUGUAGUUAAAGGACCAUGUCCAGUUGUUUCUAAAACAGGGGACAAAUACUUUGUCACUUUUGUAGAUGAUUUUUCUUGAAUGACCUGGAUUUACUUUAUGAAGAGUCGACCUGAAGCAUUUACUCAUUUUUCUGCAUUUUGUGCUGAAGUCAAAACUCAAUUCAAUGCCUCAAAUUUGUAUUCUAAGGAGCGAUAAUGCUAAAGAAUAGAAGUAUUUAGAUCAUAAAACAACAUGGUAUUCUUUAUCAGUCUUCAUGUUUUGAUACACCCUCUAAAAUGGAGGUGUUGAGAGGAAGAAUAGGCAUCUAGGUAAGAUAGCUGGGGCUCUUUUGUUCCAAAUGAAGGUUUCUAAAAAUUUUUGGGCUGAUGCUGUCUCUACUGCUUGUUAUUUGAUAAAUUGCAUGCCAUCUAAUGAGCUUGCUAGUAAUAUGCCUUUUAAACUUCUUUCUCUAAAUAAGUCACUAUUUUCAAUGGGACUUUAGGUGUUUAGAAGCACAUGUUGUGUUCGAGACGCUUGACCAUAUUGUUACAAAGUUGGACCCCGAGGCAUUGAAGUGUGUUUUCUUGGGUUAUUCUUGCCUUAAAAGGGGAUAUCAAUAUUAUUCUACUGAGCUUGGUAUGGUGUCAACUGAUGUGGUAUUUUCUGAGACUACACCAUUCUUCUAUGCACCUCUCAAUUCUACAAGUCAGGGGGAGGAAAAAAGAGUGGUUAAUCUACCAGGUUACUCGUGUUGUGAUAGAAAAGUCAGAAGAUGUUCUUCCCUAUCCUAGUCUUUUGUUGAGCACCAAUCCACUAUUGUUCCAUCAGCACCUAUUAAAUAUGUGCCAACAAGACCGCUUAUUGUUCAAGUUUACUUGAGGAGGCGGAAAAUCGAUGAUACAAUUCCUUUAUCAUCAGAUGUUACUCUGCUUGAUUCUCCAUAAAAUCUUGACCUCCAUAUUUCUCUUCAAAAAGUACACGUCAGUGUAAGUCCGCAUAUUUCUUUGCUAACAUUGUCUCUUAUGACCACUUAUCAGUUGCAUCUAGUCGUAUGAUAUCCUCUCUAGACUCUAUCUCUAUUUCUAAAACAGUGAAAGGUGCCUUGAACCAUGCAUCUUAGAUGGCAUGAUGCAAUGGUUGAGGAGAUAUAUGCUUUAGAUAAAAAUCACACUUGCAAUUUGGUAGAUUACCAAAAGGAGCAGUUGGAUGCAAAUGGAUCUUUGCGGUGAAAGAUAAUCUCGAUGGCUUUGUUGCAAGACUUAAGGCCAGACUUGUGUCAAUAAGCUAUAACCAGACUUAUGGUGUAGAUUAUUAUGACACCUUCUCCGCGGUAGAAAAGCUCACUUCUGUUCUCUUGUUCAUUUCAUUGGUUGCUUCUCAGCAUUGAACCUUACAUCAAUUGAAUAUCAAAAAUGCAUUUCUUCAUGGUGAUCCCAAUGAAAAAGUGUAUAUGGAGCAACCACCUGGAUUUGUGGCUCAGGGGAAGUAUGAGAAAGUUUGUCAUCUGAAAAAAUCUCUAUAUGGUCUAAAGUGAACUCCUCGUGCUUGGUUUGGAAAAUUUAGCGAUGUAUUUCAGCAAUUUGCGUUGAAGAAAAGCAAGUGUGAUGACUCGGUUUUCUAUAGAUAGUCAACCGUUGGUAUUAUUCUUUUAAUUGUUUAUGUUGACGAUAUUGAUAUUUUAGGAGAUGAUUGUGUGAGAAGAAACUUCUUACAUGCCAAGUUUCGUACCAAAUAUUUGGGGUAACUGAAAUACUGCUUGGGUUUCGAAGUAGCAAGAAACAAAUUUUCUUAUCCCAAAGAAAGUAUAUGUACUUGAUUUACUCGCAGAAACUCAAUAUUUGGGAGCCAAACCAUGUUGCCCACCAAUGGUUCCUAAUGCUCAUCUUAUUAAAGAUGAUGGUGAUCCUCUUGAUGAUCCAUAAAGAUAUGAGAAAUUAGUUGAGAAAAUGAACUACUUCACAGUGACACAUCAAGAUAUUGCAUAUGCAGUCAAUAUUGUUAGUCAAUAUAUGUCAGAACCGACUUUCAAACAUUGCGCAGCCUUGGAACAGAUCUUGUGUUACUUGAAAUGAGCUCCUGGCCUUGGCAUUUUGUAUAGCGACCACGGGCAUACUCUUAUUGAGUGUUUUGUGGAUGUUGAUUAGGCUGUAUCAAAAAUUGAUAGAAGAUCUCCUACUGGAUUUUGCGUUUUUGUUUUGGUAUCUUGGAGGAGUAAGAAACAAACUGUUGUAUCUCGAUCUAGUGUAGAAUCUAGUAUAGAGCUAUGACUCAAUCCACAUGUAAAAUACUAUGGAUUCAUCACCUUUUAGUUGAUAUCAGUUUGAACCCUUUAUCUCCAGCAAAACUUUGGUGUGAUAAUGAGGCUGCUCUGCACAUUGCCUCAAAUUCAGUGUACCAUGAAUGUACGAAACACAUUGAGGUUGACUGUCACGUUGUUCGUGAAAAGAUCUAAGAGAACAUGAUUUCUACCGGAUAUGUAAAGACAUGAGAAUAAUUGAGUGAUAUAUUUACGAAGACGGGUGGGAUAUCUUUGUAGCGAGUUUGGCAUGAUUAAUAUCUAUCCUCUAGAGAAUGUACAAAGACUUAUUUUCCUAUACAUAACACAUUCUCAACACAAUCAUAGAUAGAGAUAUUUUUGGAAUUUUCUGAUUUUGUUUUCCUUAGAUAGAUUAUUUUUGUAUACGUAUAAAUAACUCUCCUUUUUGGAUUAUUAAUAAAACAUUGAAGAUUACUCCAUCCUCUAUGUAUUUUAAAUGCAGUAAAUUUUUUCAAUUUUAUCUCUCCUAAAUGGUUCGGACUGAGUCAGUCCACAUGGAUAAACUCAAUAAUGGUAAAGAACUAUAAUGAUAUUUUGAUCAAGAUAGAGCUAUGACUUUGUAUAAAUAAUCAUCAGGUUGAUAUUUUUGCUUCUCCCUGAGUAAGAUAUAUACGAAGUAAAUUUUUUAGUGCCCCUACAGGUUAACAGACAACUAUUAUUUAUUAGAAAUCUAGAAAGAUUUGCAAGUUGUUUUCAUCCUUGAGGUUUAAAUUAUCUUCCAGUUUAUUUUCCUCUUUUUCUCAAGUUUCACACUUCUGUUUUGGUGAAAAUCAUGCAUUAGUGCUUAAUAUUGGUGCAUCCAGAUUCUUCAAAUCCUGAGUUCGCCUUUGAUCAAAAGAAUAGGGAACAAUAUGGGUACCUUUUCUUGGGGAGAAAUGGGAGAAUGAUGGGUUAAUGGUUCAGCAGGAGGAGAAUGUUGAUAAAGUUGAAUAUCAAGACAACUGAUGGAUUAUGACGUGGAGCAGUGCUUCCGCAAUAAAGAAUUCAUCAAAGUGUUCAUGGCAAUUGAAUAAGGAACUGAAGAUUUGUCAGUAGGUACCUCUGUUCCUCUUCAUAGUGGUUCUCUAUCAGGAAAUUCAUCACUGGUCGGAAAAGGCAUUGACUAUAAUCACCCGUUAUUCCUCAGCCCUACUGAUGAGCUUUACAGUGAGAAGGUGAAAGAUGUUGGUAGAAUAGAAGGAGGUUUGUACCUACUGUUGAGACAACUAAAUAUAGAAACUGUCAACUCCAGGAAAUCUGCAUUGUUAGUUACACAAUUGUCUCCAUCUGCUAAAAAGUCUGAUAUAGAGAUAUGGCACAAUCGAUUGGGGCAUGUAUCACCUGCAGUACUAGCUAGGAUUUUCUCUAUAAAUAAGCAAAACAUGUCUAAUCUCUCUCAGUUUCUAGUUUGUCCAUAUGCCAAACAAUCAAGAGGUAGUUUUCCUACUACUAGUAUCAGAAGUAAUUCCUGUUUUGAUUUGCUUCAUGUUGUUGAUGUGUGGGGGUCCUUAUAAUACUCCAACUAUUGAUGGCAACAAGUACUUUUUGACAAUUGUGGAUAAUUUUUCAAAAAAGUCUUGGUUAUUUCUGCUUAAACUCAAGUCUGAUGUGUGUGUGUGGCAUUGCAAAUUUACUUACAUAUGUUGAAACUCAGUUUAAUAAAGCUAUAAAGGUGAUCAAAAUUGAUAAUGCCACUGAGUUUGUUAACUUAGUGUGCACUCAUAUGUUUCAAAGAAAGAGGGAUUAUACAUCAAAGUACUUGUCCUUACACUCCUCACCAAAAUAGAAUGGUUGAGCGAAAACAUAGACACUUACUAGAGAUAACCAGGGCCCUAAGGUUUCAAGCAAAAUUGCCUUUGAAGUAUUGGGGAUAUUGUGUGCUAGCUACGACUUAUAUCAUAAAUAGGUUGCCUAGUAGUGCUAUCAAUUUUCAAACUCAUUAUGAGAGAUUAUAUGGGAGAGUACCAGAUCUUGCUCAUUUAAGGACACUAGGGUGUUUAUGCUUUGCUAAGAAUCUGACUGAACAUGACAAGAUGCUCUUAAGGUCUAAGGCUGCAGUCCACAUGGGGUAUUCAGAUAUACAGAAGGGGUAUGUAUUGUUGGAUCUCACAAGUGCUUCAUUUUUCACUAGCAGAGAUGUGUUGUUCAGAGAAGACAUCUUUCCUUUCUCACAAAUGGAUGAGUAUGCUUCUAUUAAGUUCCCUACGAUUCUCGAUCCUUUGUCUAUUCCAGAUGUGUUGCUCCCUCUUCCAGACUCUUUAGUCUCCACUAGACUCUUCAAAUUGAUUUAUCAGAAGAAUUUGCACCUGAGCAGAUUGUUGUAGAUAUAGACACCACAGAGGAUGUUUUUAAAGACUCUACUAUUCCUGAUGAAUCUAACAUAGAUACUACAGUUUCAGCUACUAGAAGAUCCUCUAGGACUACACAUCCUCCAUCUUGGUUGAAAGACUUUAUGUACUUAACUACCACUAGGGGUGUAAAGUAUCCCUUACAACAUCAUAUGACUCACUUAUCGCCUACAUAUCAAUGUUAUAUUGCUGCCACCUCUAUCAUCAAAGAACCUACCACCUCUUUUGAGGAUGUUAAGGAUCAUAGGUGGGUUGAUGGCAUGCAGACUGAGAUAAAAGCUUUGGAUAGCAAUCAUACUUGGAAAAUUUCUGAUUUACCACCUGGCAAGAAACUAUUGGUUGUAGGUGGAUAUACAAAGUAAAAUAAAAGUCUACUGGUGAGAUUAAAAGAUUCAAAGCAAGGUUGGUAGCCAAAGGGUAUAGUCAGCACCAGGGGAUUGAUUAUCAUGAAACUUUUUCUCCUGUUGUUAAAAUGGUGACAGUCAAAACAAUCAUUUCCUUGGCUACAGCUAGACAUUGGCACAUUCAUCAAAUGGAUGUGUUUAAUACUUUCUUACAAAGUGAUUUGGAAGAUGAGAUAUACAUGCAACUUCCACAAGGUUUUGUCAGUAAAAAGGAGAAAGUGUGUAGACUUACCAAGUCCUUAUAUGGGCUUAAACAAAGCACCUAGACAAUGGAACCAUAAGCUGACUGAGGCUCUUAUUAAGCUAUAGUUCAAACAGAGUCAAUAUGAUUAUUCAUUGUUUAUCAACUCCUCAGAAGAGGGAAUCAUUUUGGUACUUGUAUAUGUGGAUGACAUUUGUAACUGGCAGCAACUUGAAGAUACUAGAGGAUACAAAGAGGGCCUUGCAACAAGAAUUCAAAAUGAAAGAUUUAGGGGAACUAAAAUAUUUUUUGGGCAUUGAGAUCACUAGAUCUGCUGAUGGUAUCCUAAUGCAUCAGAGGAAGUAUACUAUUGAGUUAAUUUCUGAGGUUGGAAUGAUAGCAGCUAGACCUGCAAGCACACCCAUUGACAUGAAUGUCAAUAUAACUUCCGAACAGUAUGACGAUCAUAUAAAUCAACAACAAGCAAAAGUUGUUGAUGAUCCUUUGAUAGAUCAGACCAAGUAUCAAAGAUUGAUAGGUUAGUUGUUAUACUUGAAUAUGACAUGUAACAUCUCUAAAAUAACUUAGGUGAAAGUAGGGCCUAACGUGUGUGUCAUAAAUUCUUGAAGUGCUUAUAUGGUUUAAAAUAAUGUUUUGAGGCAGUGUCUAAAGAUUUGGUUAAGUAUGAAGUCAAACGUCAAGGAACGAUCAAGACGUUCGACAACUAGUCACUUAUGCCUUAUGUGUUUUCAUGUGCUUAUAUGCGUGUAAUGACUUUAUGAGGUCUUUAUAUGGCUGAUAAUGGUGUUCAGAGUCAGCAUGUUGAGUUUGUUAAGGUUUGGAGGUCAAACGUCCAAGAACGUCUGGUGACGUUCAAAAGAUAGCCUUUGAACGUCCUUGUGAGUUUGGGUGUGUUUUAGCAUGUUGCGUGGCUUGUUUGAUGUUGAACUGGAUUGGUGAUGUUCCUAAGACCUAGACGUGCGUGUCUAGGGGUUUAAUAUCUGGGUACAAUCUUACCUAGGAUCCACAAGGGGCCUUACAGGAGGACCCAAACUCAAGACUUGAUGUUGCAUGGCAAUUUGCAUGCAGUGCCAAACGACGACCCAAACGAUGGCCAGCCGAUGGAACGACGGCUCGUCGACUUGGGGAGUCGAUGGAGAUGAAAGUCUGGGAGUUGCAGACCAACCUACGGGCACCAAUCGAUGGAUGUAGCCCAGUCGACGGUUCGUUGACGGGCAACCGUCAAUAGGCCUGCAAAACUACCAGCUUCACUGUUAAAGACUUGAGGUUUUUGGAAAAUUCACCCCUAGUCUUAUAAAAUAGGAGGACGAUUAUUUUAAGUGUGUAUGGGUAUUUUAAGAUCAUUUAAGUCAUUAACCCUAGCACCUAGAUCAAAACCUACUCCCUCCCAAAGUUUCUCAAAAACCUCCGUGAGAGCUCAAGGUGAAGAUGGAGCUUAAUGAUGGAUCUUCAAUGGAUUUUCUUGCUCAAUUCUAUUUGGAUUAUUCUAAUAAGGAAAAUGGAAGUCUUGAUAUGCCAUGGAGGAUGGAUAGGUUUCUAAGGGUUGAAGAUGAAGUAUUGGUGAGUUCUCAUCGAUUCAAGGACAAUAUCCACACGUUCUUUUAUGUUUAUAUCUUGCAUGAGCUUAGUCCCAAGUGUUGUGUACUCCAAAGUUUAGAUGGUUCAAUGAGACAUUGUAAAGAUUUAUUGUUUUUAAUGAAAGUCUUCCGCUUGCAUAUAUUA